rnacentral:lncRNA from 1 species
UUUAUCUGAAUUCGGCCGCAGUGUCUUUUAGGUCAAUCCUCUACAUCAACCUGAACCAGUAGAGCUCUCGAAUCAGGUUGAAUACUCCUAAUCGGCUUUAAAUCUGUGAAACAUCCUCUGUACCCCGAUAGAUCAUCGGUGGACAACCACAAUCACAAUGAACUGGAAUGGCAUGUUGGAGAGGAAUCAUCUUCGCGGAUGUGAAUGUUCGGGGGUAUAACCUGUCUAAUAGAAAGGAAUCUGUCGCCAGAAAUGGUAAAUAAAAUGAAGUGAACAUCGG